GCCGUGACUGCCCCAGCCUUGCUGCUGCUGCUUCAGGCCACGUUUCUAGUGGAUGGCAGCUGCCCUUUUGCUUGGCAAGGAGGAUGCCCCGUGGCACGGUUGCUGCAGACCAGCUGCAAGAGCCUGGGAGUGUUCCGGCUGGAGGAUGACUUCUGAACAACACACUAAGUGGGAAAUGGCAGAAGGCUAUUCCAAGUUUGUGGUUAGAGGAGCAGCUGUGUAGCGAAGGUUGCGUCGCUUUCUUGGGGAAAAUGCUCAGCCUUUGAUACUUCCCUGCAGUGUACUUUGAAAUUCAAAAGACCCACCUAACAGUUAAACUCCAAAAUAUAUGGGCGCACGGCACUGGAGAAACACAACUGAAAAGGAGGUGGACUUAAGCAAGGGUUCCUCAGCAUCUGAUAAGGGUAAACAGUUAGAAGAUAUAAAAAGAAGAAGGAAAAAAAAACAUUAUAUA